UUUUUUCCACACUGAGAGCAUGCUGCAUUCCUGCACCCAGAGACCAGCCAGAGGGACUUUCCUGCCAAUCUGUGCCAUUGACCAGCCUGUGGAAAAGGGACCAUCUUACCAGCCUGUUGCAGAGGAACCAGCCAGAGUUUCUAUCUCGCAAUAUAUGACUGGAUACUCUCAGACGGGCUCUGCACAGCAGUGUUAAAAGCAUGUCUGUCCAUUAUAAGAUUUACCACUGCGUUGUUGCAGCUUCCUCUCCUCCUGCAGCUUAUCCAGGCUCUUCCUUCUCCUUCUUGAUGAACACAAAUCUGCCGGGCUGGAUACUGCUCCUGCUGCUGGGCUGUAGCCACUGGGAGACCAGCACCUGCAUUUCUUCUCACUUAAAAAAGUGUCCAGCAUAUCUGAGGAUGGGCGUCAUGGAGUGUAUACCUGCUGGAUCUGCUUUGUGUUUUGCAUGAUUUUACUUGUGGACUGGGACUGGAGUUCAUUCACUGGCAGGUUUGUGAUCAAUUAAAAAAAAAAAUACCGUAGG